UACGUAGGGUGCAAGCGUUGCCCGGAUUUAUUGGGCGUAAAGAGCUCGUAGGCGGUUUGUCGCGUCUGCCGUGAAAGUCCGGGGCUCAACUCCGGAUCUGCGGUGGGUACGGGCAGACUAGAGUGAUGUAGGGGAGACUGGAAUUCCUGGUGUAGCGGUGAAAUGCGCAGAUAUCAGGAGGAACACCGGUGGCGAAGGCGGUUCUCUGGGCAUGUCCUGACGCUGAGGAGCGAAAGUGUGGGGAGCGAACAGG
rnacentral:rRNA from 1 species